UGGCGACCUUUACUGAAAUAUUGCUUAUUAAUUAAGCCAUAGCAGACAUUUUCAAAGAUUGAUAUAUCUGUUUAUAUACUGAUGUUCCUAACAAAAGGAAUAGGAUAACAGAGAAGAUAAUAGGAUAACAGGGAAGAUAAAACAUAUUUGGCUUACUAAGGGGAAUAUGUUUAAUAUUUUGGUAACCACACUAUAUCUACCAUAUCCAGUGCCAACAAGGCCUUACACCGAAUACUACGGCUCCUGAGGCUGGCUGGGAUACUGCGUACAUAGUAGUGGUUGUAGGUACAAUAUAAAAAGAGAAUAGAAGACUGAUGCCAGGUGCCUGAGAAUGUACAGAAUAGAUAUCGCUUGAAUCUAGUGAGCUGUUGUGGAAACUUAUAGGGGUGAAUGAUAUUGGAAAAGGUUGAGAAGCACUGGUAGAGUAUAUCAUCUCAAAGUCCAUGUUGGAGGAGGUGGGUUUAAGUGAUAAAAGAUAUAUAAAUAUUGUAAAAAAUGUACAAGGUUGUUUAUAGAUUAUUUGUUAAAACCUAUUUAUUUUAGUAUACAUAUACUCUGAAAGCUGCAGUAUACUGUAACUGAUAAAGAACAUUAUGUCCAAUAAUUAACUGUGUCGCAAAUAACACUAUAUUGUAAGAAAAAUUUUCUGCACUGUUACGUUUAAUGUAUUUAACCUGAUAAAGAGAUCAUAUGCAAGUAAGCUUGCAUUCAGUAAAUAUAUUUUGAGUUACACCAAAGUUUAUUUUGUUUCUUCCCACAUUUAGGUAAAACUGUAUGGCUGUGGCAUUGAAACUUUACUGUAUAAAGGUUUGUUCACCAUAAAAAGAACAAUAAGAUACUGACAAUAUACAAAAAAUCUAAUUCAAAUUUUUAAACUGGACCAAAAAAUAUUUACCUGUGAUAAAAAGUUAUAGCCUAUCUAUACUCACUCUAGUAUUUCAUAGUUAUUGUAAUAAAAGUGACAAAUAUGUUUUACAACAUAAAAAAAGACAAUCAGCAGAUGAAAUUUUUACUUGAAGUACAUAUAUUUCAUAAAAACAUACCAAUUUUACUUUGUGAUUUUUUUAGCAGGUGUGUGUGUGUGUGUCAAUUUAGG
rnacentral:misc_RNA from 1 species